GAUGAACGCUGGCGGCGUGCCUAAUACAUGCAAGUCGAGCGAACAGACGAGGAGCUUGCUCCUCUGACGUUAGCGGCGGACGGGUGAGUAACACGUGGAUAACCUACCUAUAAGACUGGGAUAACUUCGGGAAACCGGAGCUAAUACCGGAUAAUAUAUUGAACCGCAUGGUUCAAUAGUGAAAGACGGUUUUGCUGUCACUUAUAGAUGGAUCCGCGCCGCAUUAGUUAGUUGGUAAGGUAACGGCUUACCAAGGCAACGAUGCGUAGCCGACCUGAGAGGGUGAUCGGCCCCACUGGACUGAGACACGGUCCAGACUCCUACGGGAGGCAGCAGUAGGGAAUCUUCCGCAAUGGGCGAAAGCCUGACGGAGCAACGCCGCGUGAGUGAUGAAGGUCUUCGGAUCGUAAAACUCUGUUAUUAGGGAAGAACAAAUGUGUAAGUAACUAUGCACGUCUUGACGGUACCUAAUCAGAAAGCCACGGCUAACUACGUG
rnacentral:rRNA from 1 species